rnacentral:rRNA from 1 species
AAUACAUGCAAGUCGAGCGAGCGGAACCACAGAUUUACUUCGGUAAUGACGUUGGGAAAGCGAGCGGCGGAUGGGUGAGUAACACGUGGGGAACCUGCCCCUAAGUCUGGGAUACCAUUUGGAAACAGGUGCUAAUACCGGAUAAUAAAGCAGAUCGCAUGAUCAGCUUUUGAAAGGCGGCGUAAGCUGUCGCUAAGGGAUGGCCCCGCGGUGCAUUAGCUAGUUGGUAAGGUAACGGCUUACCAAGGCGACGAUGCAUAGCCGAGUUGAGAGACUGAUCGGCCACAUUGGGACUGAGACACGGCCCAAACUCCUACGGGAGGCAGCAGUAGGGAAUCUUCCACAAUGGACGCAAGUCUGAUGGAGCAACGCCGCGUGAGUGAAGAAGGUUUUCGGAUCGUAAAGCUCUGUUGUUGGUGAAGAAGGAUAAGGUAGUAACUGGCCUUUAUUUGACGGUAAUCAACCAGAAAGUCACGGCUAACUACGUGCCAGCAGCCGCGGUAAUACGUAGGUGGCAAGCGUUGUCCGGAUUUAUUGGGCGUAAAGCGAGCGCAGGCGGAAAAAUAAGUCUAAUGUGAAAGCCCUCGGCUUAACCGAGGAACUGCAUCGGAAACUGUUUUUCUUGAGUGCAGAAGAG